rnacentral:rRNA from 1 species
AGCCUGCCCAGUGACUAAGUUAAACGGCCGCGGUACCCUAACCGUGCAAAGGUAGCGCAAUCACUUGUUCUUUAAAUGAGGACUAGUAUGAAUGGCAUCACGAGGGUUAUGCUGUCUCCCUACUCUACUCAGUGAAACUGAUCUCCCCGUGAAGAAGCGGGGAUAAAAAUAUAAGACGAGAAGACCCCAUGGAGCUUUAAACUCAGUACCAACUGCCUAAUUAAGAACCUUUUACUCCUGCAGCGAUGGUUACUAGUUUUCGGUUGGGGUGACCACGGAGUAAAAUUAAACCUCCACGAUGAAAGGAACUAACAACCUAACCUAUGAGCUACAGCUCUAAGCAUCAAUAAAUUGACUAAUUGAUCCAAUCAGUUGAUCAACGAACCUAGUUACCCUGGGGAUAACAGCGCAAUCCAUUUCAAGAGCUCAUAUCGACAAAUGGGUUUACGACCUCGAUGUUGGAUCAGGGUAUCCCAGUGGCGCAGCCGCUACUAACGGUUCGUUUGUUCAACGAUUAAA